UACAGAGGGUGCGAGCGUUAAUCGGAAUUACUGGGCGUAAAGCGUGCGCAGAUGGUCAUGUAAGUCGGGUGUGAAAGCCCUGGGCUCAACCUGGGAAUUGCAGUGGAUACUGGCGAGCUAGAGUGCGGUAGAGGAUGGUGGAAUUCCCGGUGUAGCGGUGAAAUGCGUAGAGAUCGGGAGGAACACCCGUGGCGAAGGCGGCCAUCUGGACCAGCACUGACGCUGAGGCACGAAAGCGUGGGGAGCAAACAGG
rnacentral:rRNA from 1 species